UACGAAGGGGGCUAGCGUUGUUCGGAAUCACUGGGCGUAAAGGGCGCGUAGGCGGCUUUAUAAGUCGGGGGUGAAAGCCUGUGGCUCAACCACAGAAUUGCCUUCGAUACUAUAGAGCUUGAGACCGGAAGAGGUAAGUGGAACUGCGAGUGUAGAGGUGAAAUUCGUAGAUAUUCGCAAGAACACCAGUGGCGAAGGCGGCUUACUGGUCCGGUUCUGACGCUGAGGCGCGAAAGCGUGGGGAGCAAACAGG
rnacentral:rRNA from 1 species